CUCUUCUGGAGAUCUGCUCUGCUGGAGUUUUGUAAGUGAGCCCAGGAUAGGGAAGUAAGAAUGCCCUGACAGAAGUAUGCCUGAAGCCAGGAUACAGUUUUGGGGAGAUGAGGAAACUGAAGGAAGUCCCUCUCCCAUAUUCGGCAUGGGACGAAGGAGUACAGAGAAGACUUAGAAGGUACAAAAGGACAACAAAAAAAGAAGAGGACAGGAAGCUUGGCUCUUCCUUCAUUAGAGUUAUCAGAGCAAGUUCUGUGCCAGCAGAAGACUUUGACCUCAUCCUGUUAACGCUUUAUCCUGGUACUUCCAAACCUGAGACCACGUGCUUCCAUCUGUGCUUUUAUUCAGGGUUUGCAAGGAAGAUGUUUACUGCUUGAUCUGCAGUGGUGACCACAGGUGUCAUGCAUGACAGCCAAUGCCAACUGAAUGAAAGAACAGAUAAAUGUUAUCUCCCAGCAGUUGCAAGGUUGACUUGACUGUUGUGCAGUUGGGCCUGUCUUGGCCUGAGAGUGUCAGAUCUGCCUGGCCCAUGACUGGCUUUAAUACUCACAUGGGGUGACAGCUCCAGCCCUGGGCUGACCAAAGCUCUGGGAGGGCCCUGAAGAGGGCAGGAGCUGCAGCAGUCAUGGGCAGCACCAGAACCAGUCCUUUGUGCAGCCAAGGCUGGGCCUGGUUUCGAUUCCGUGAGGCUUCAGCCAGGUAAACAAUAACUUCUUGUUUAAUGCCUAUGUGAUAUGUAUUCCUUUUUAGCCCACAAGAAAGUUUUAAGUGUGACACUGCAUUACUCUGAACUCAGAACAUCAUUUUGCACCCAGCAGAGCUGCUGCUGCCCCCAAGGUCUCACAUUAUUGCAGCCAUCAGAUGCUGAUCAGUGUUUAUUGCUGAAAGUUUCCAGUUAUUUUCUAUUAUGCUCUCAUUUUUAUAUGGUUGAAUAUUCAUUGCAACUAGAAAGCAAGGUUCUUGACUAGAAAACCAACUUUUGCAUAAAUGAGGACACUGUAGAAUAAAAUUCCAUAUGUAGAAACCCUCUAGAUAUCUACCAGUAAGUCAGAGGAAGUAUGUUACAUUUAAUUUCCACAGAGAUGUAAGAUACCAGCACGAAGGAAAGAGAACUGUGUACUUGUUAACAGUUACCAUAAAGGAGACAGUGAGAUUAGCAUAUUUAAAUCUUCAGAAUUAAAUAUCAAAAUCAAAAAUUUUCUCUGAAUUUAUCACCUAAGGUGAUGCUAUUGUUGAAAGCAAAAGUACUGAGGGUGUUAAAUGGUAAUUUUCUAUGCACUUCACAGUAACAAGUUUUUCAGAAUUGCAUCCUUUCUGUGAAAGAGCAUUUAUUGAAAAACGCAGCAGCUCACCACACCUUUUAUAGACUCUGAGACAAUUAAUGGUGAAGACCCCUGGAAAAGAAAUGAGAUUUGUGUAAGUAAUUGCUAAGAUAAACAUUUUAGAAAUGCUGAGAUCCUGGUUUUAGAGGUGAGCAAGAUUUCUAAAUCUAUCAGGUACUCUUGAGAAUGCUAUGAUUUGUUAUCUCUCUGUAGCAUUUCAGUGUUUAACUGCCCAUUUGGAGAUGCUUUGAGCCUGAUUAAAAAAUAAUAAUAAUGUCUGAGCAUUUGGGAUAUCUGCAGAAUUCAGUCAAACUGAUGUAAGUUGUGUUAUGAUCAGACUUAAGACUGUCAAUGAUCCAUUUGCCAAGUGAUGUUCUAAUAUAAACACAACCAUAAAAUGGUAUUUUUGUGACUACUAAAGGUUUGCUGCCUAAACACUGCUUACCUUGCUUCAUCAGAAAUGGACUGUGCCAAUGUGUUGACUUGUAUAGAAGGCUGAUUGAGCACAGAUGGGUCAAAAUGGUUUGGCACCUAUUCCUCUGAGGACGUAUGGACACCAGAUUGCUCGUUUUCACUGCUGAGGGGUAGAACAUAGUGUUUGUUUUUCUGCAGGUCUGUGUCCCGUAAAAGUGUUAAUCCUGAAUUUAUUUCACCAGAGUUGACAGAGAUUUCUGGUCUAUUUUACAAAUGCAAUUGCUGGUAUAAACAAUUUACAUUAAAGUUGAUUAGGAGCUGUUUUGAUUAGACAAUUUUGUUCCAGGAAAGCUGAGUUAGUGAAAUGAGCCCAGGAUUGGGAAUGAGUUUUUUCAGAAGGGGAUUUUCUAGUCCUCUGAGGAAGAAACCUUGUUUGGUAGCUGCUAGCAGCUGUUAGUCCCCUAGCUAAGAGCUCCUACUGAGAUGGGGAGAAAGGCCUAGCCUGGCAAUCACUGACCUAAAUGCCUUGACAGGCUGCUCACAGUUCGGCGAUGGAUGUUUUUUUCUCAUUCUUCAGUUUUCCCUCAUUAAAAGACUUCCUUUCUUCCCAGUGAGAAGUGGGGAAACAUUUUAGUUUUUAGAAGUGAUACGAUACAGUAACUGUUUUGUGCUCAGCUCCAUUUACAAUAUAUAAAUAUAAUACAUUUGCACAGAGAAGAAUUGAUAUCCUACAAGUAUUACUAGAAAAAUAUUUUUUUCCAAACAUUUAAAGUGAAUACUCAGUUUAUGUGGUCAUUCACUGUGACUGCUGCUGAAUGUAGCUGUUUUUAUGGAACUGUUUUGAUGCUCUUGAACACUGCACAGAAAGAUAGUAUGCAUGUUUUAUUAGUUACUACUAAUAAAAAUACCUUUAUAUUUCUUACUUAUUCUUUUUAAAUAAGAGCUGAGGCUUUGUCUUGAUUGUUAUGUCCUACUGGAGUAAAAACUCCGUUAUAUACAGUUAUACUAAAGCAACAACGGAGGAAAAGACCUGUGCUUUUUAUAGGUAUACAUUGCAGUCUCUUUUACUAGGCUGGCUUACAAGACAAAAAUGUUCAUUCUUUAUUUGUAUGAACAGCCAAGUGUAGCAGCACCAAUGUCUGUAACUGGAUUUCAUUAUGGAAAUUCAGCUAAAAAGGGCCACAGGCACAAAAAUCCAUUAAAAUGUUUCUAUUGCUUUACAUAUUCUUCUGUGAUAAAAAUAGCCCUAUAUUUGAAUUUAAGAAGCUUUUGCCUAAAGGGUAGCAGAUGGAUAUUAAGGAGAUUAUAAUAAAGAAGAGUAUUAUAAAAAAAAAAAAAAAGCUGAUGGGGGAGUACCAUUCUUUCAUAUUUAGGGAAAACAUUUGUAAGAGCAAAAGGUAUUCCAAAAAUUGUCUCUCUUUAGGUAAUUAAUAAUAGCUUGUUGAUUCUUUCUUUUACUAUGUGAAGGCCUGAUCCUAAAAUGGGCUUGUUCUGUAAAACUCUGAUACAACUGGCAGCUGAAAAAUUGGAUGGAUCUAGGACACUUGCAUUGUUGUUACUGUAACUGUGUUGUAAGAUGUGAAGAGUAGCUGCCA